AGUUUGAUAUAGUGGUUAAGACACCAGGUUUGAAAAUGGGAGACUAUGAGUUCUAAUUUGGCCUUACACAAGGAGUAAGAUGAGUGACCAUAGCCAUUCUGUCAACCCUAGGAAGCAAGUAAUGGCAAAUCACUUCUGGAAAAUCCCUGCCAAGAAAACUGCAGGGACUAGUUCAGACAAUUUCCAGAAAAUAUGACUGCUUGGAUUUCAAUUCCAGGAUAGUAAUUUCAGCCAGCCAUUCAAGCUUUUGGUUUUCUCAGCUGCAUAAACAGUCCAAAGAAGAAUGGAAUACUUUGCAAGCUAUGUAUCCUUUGCUCAGUUAGGAUUUAUUCAUGAAAAUCCUUGCAUUCUGAAGCACCUGAGCUGCAAAACAUAAAAUUUAAUUUUUGGAGGCUCCAUGAUGUAGAUAAUUAGGGAAAUUUGUCUUUGCAUACAGCCAAGCUAUUCAGAUAUUUGUUGCUAUGUCUUUCCAAAUAAUUCAAAUGUGUGAAGUUCACCUGAAUGUUCCUAAACUGACUAUUUUGUAAAGUCAGACUAAAUCUCUUUAAAUAAAUGUAUGACUCUUAGGUAA